rnacentral:rRNA from 1 species
GCAUAUCAAUAAGCGGAGGGAAAAAGAAACUAACAAGGAUUCCCCUAGUAACUGCGAGUGAAGCGGGAAAAGCUCAAAUUUAAAAUCUGGCGGUCUUUGGCCGUCCGAGUUGUAAUCUAGAGAAGUGUUACCCGCGUCGGACCGUGUAUAAGUCUCCUGGAAUGGAGCGUCAUAGAGGGUGAGAAUCCCGUCUUUGACACGGACUACCGAGGCUUUUGUGGUGCGCUCUCAAAGAGUCGAGUUGUUUGGGAAUGCAGCUCAAAAUGGGUGGUAAAUUCCAUCUAAAGCUAAAUAUUGGCGAGAGACCGAUAGCGAACAAGUACCGUGAGGGAAAGAUGAAAAGAACUUUGGAAAGAGAGUUAAACAGUACGUGAAAUUGCUGAAAGGGAAACGCUUGAAGUCAGUCGCGUUGGCCGGAAAUCAACCUUGCUUCUGCUGGGUGUACUUUCUGGUUGACGGGCCAGCAUCAGUUUUGACCGAUGGAAAAAGUCCAAGGGAAUGUGGCAUCUCAGGAUGUGUUAUAGCCCUUGGUCGUAUACAUCGGUUGGGACUGAGGAAUUCAGCACGCCGAAAGGCCGGGUCUUUGACCACGUUCGUGCUUAGGAUGCUGGCAUAAUGGCUUUAAUCGACCCGUCUUGAAACACGGACCAAGGAGUCUAACAUGCCUGCGAGUGUUUGGGUGGAAAACCCGAGCGCGUAAUGAAAGUGAAAGUUGGGAUCCUUGUCAUGGGGAGCACCGACGCCCGGACCUGAAGUUUACGGACGGCUCCGCGGUAAAGCAUGUAUGUUGGGACCCGAAAGAUGGUGAACUAUGCCUGAAUAGGGUGAAGCCAGAGGAAACUCUGGUGGAGGCUCGUAGCGAUUCUGACGUGCAAAUCGAUCGUCGAAUUUGGGUAUAGGGGGCGAAAGACUAAUCGAAACCAUCUAGUAGCUGGUUCCUGCCGAA